rnacentral:rRNA from 1 species
CCCUUAGAUGUCCGGGGCUGCACGCGCGCUACACUGAAGGAAUCAGCGUGCUAAAACCAUUGUCGAAAGGCAUUGGUAAACCCAUUAAAAUCCUACGUGAUUGGGAUCGGGAAUUGCAAUUAUUUCCCUUGAACGAGGAAUUCCCAGUAAGUGUGGGUCAUAAGCUCGCGUUGAUUACGUCCCUGCCCUUUGUACACACCGCCCGUCGCUGCCCGGGACUGAGCCGUUUCGAGAAAAGCGGGGACUGCUGCUGUCGGGGUUUUCGGGCCUUGGCUUCGGUGGAAACCGCUUUAAUCGCAGUGGCUUGAACCGGGCAAAAGUCGUAACA